rnacentral:rRNA from 1 species
CGGGGAGGUUUGGCACCUCGAUGUCGGCUCAUCGCAUCCUGGGGCUGUAGUCGGUCCCAAGGGUUGGGCUGUUCGCCCAUUAAAGCGGUACGCGAGCUGGGUUCAGAACGUCGUGAGACAGUUCGGUCCCUAUCCGUCGUGGGCGUAGGAAAUUUGAGAGGAGCUGUCCUUAGUACGAGAGGACCGGGAUGGACAUACCUCUGGUGUACCAGUUGUCGUGCCAACGGCAUAGCUGGGUAGCUAUGUGUGGACGGGAUAAGUGCUGAAAGCAUCUAAGCAUGAAGCCCCCCUCAAGAUGAGAUUUCCCAACUUCGGUUAUAAGAUCCCUCAAAGAUGAUGAGGUUAAUAGGUUCGAGGUGGAAGCAUGGUGACAUGUGGAGCUGACGAAUACUAA